UACAGAGACUGCAAGCGUUAUUCGGAUUUACUGGGCGUAAAGAGCGCGCAGGCGGUCGUUCAAGUCGCGUGUGAAAGCCCCCGGCUCAACUGGGGAGGGUCACGCGAUACUGAUCGACUCGAAGGCAGGAGAGGGUAGUGGAAUUCCCGGUGUAGUGGUGAAAUGCGUAGAUAUCGGGAGGAACACCAGUGGCGAAGGCGACUACCUGGCCUGUUCUUGACGCUGAGGCGCGAAAGCUAGGGGAGCAAACGGG
rnacentral:rRNA from 1 species